GACGAACGCUGGCGGCGUGCCUAAUACAUGCAAGUAGAACGCUCAAGGAGGAGCUUGCUUCUCUUGAUGAGUUGCGCACGGGUGAGUAACGCGUAUGUAACCCGCCUGUUAGCGGGGGAUAACUAUUGGAAACGCUAGCUAAUACCGCAUAAUAGUUGAUGUUGCAUGACAUUUGCUUAAAAGGUGCAAUUUCAUCACUACCAGAUGGACCUGCGUUGUAUUAGCUAGUUGGUGGUGUAACGGCUCAACAAGGCGACGAUUCUUAGCCGACAUUGUGGGGGGGACGGCCAACAUGGGAAUGGAGCACGGGCCAGAACCCUACGGGGGGCAGCAGGAGGGGAUCUUCGGCAAUGGGGGGAAGUCUGAACGAGGAACGCCGCGGGAGUGAAGAAAGUUUUCGGAUCGUAAAGAUCUGUUGUAAGAGAAGAAAGAGUGUGAGAGUGGAAAGUUCACGCUGUGACGGUAUCUAACCAGAAAGGGACGGCUAACUACGUG
rnacentral:rRNA from 1 species